UACGGAGGGUGCGAGCGUUAAUCGGAAUUACUGGGCGUAAAGCGCGCGUAGGUGGUUCGAUAAGUCGGAUGUGAAAUCCCCGGGCUUAACCUGGGAAUUGCAUUUGAUACUGUCAAACUAGAGUGUGGUAGAGGUAAGCGGAAUUCCCGGUGUAGCGGUGAAAUGCGUAGAUAUCGGGAGGAACAUCAGUGGCGAAGGCGGCUUACUGGACCAACACUGACACUGAGGCGCGAAAGCGUGGGUAGCAAACAGG
rnacentral:rRNA from 1 species